AAACCAACCGGGAUUGCCUUAGUAACGGCGAGUGAAGCGGCAAAAGCUCAAAUUUGAAAUCUGGUACCUUCGGUGCCCGAGUUGUAAUUUGGAGAGGGCAACUUUGGGGCCGUUCCUUGUCUAUGUUCCUUGGAACAGGACGUCAUAGAGGGUGAGAAUCCCGUGUGGCGAGGAGUGCGGUUCUUUGUAAAGUGCCUUCGAAGAGUCGAGUUGUUUGGGAAUGCAGCUCUAAGUGGGUGGUAAAUUCCAUCUAAAGCUAAAUAUUGGCGAGAGACCGAUAGCGAACAAGUACAGUGAUGGAAAGAUGAAAAGAACUUUGAAAAGAGAGUGAAAAAGUACGUGAAAUUGUUGAAAGGGAAGGGCAUUUGAUCAGACAUGGUGUUUUGUGCCCUCUGCUCCUUGUGGGUAGGGGAAUCUCGCAUUUCACUGGGCCAGCAUCAGUUUUGGUGGCAGGAUAAAUCCAUAGGAAUGUAGCUUGCCUCGGUAAGUAUUAUAGCCUGUGGGAAUACUGCCAGCUGGGACUGAGGACUGCGACGUAAGUCAAGGAUGCUG
rnacentral:rRNA from 1 species